GUCUGCCGGCUUACUCUUUCUCUUGGGUGAUCUGCUCUGGGGAGAGUUGUGAGUAGGCCUCCAGCCCACAGCCAUGUGAGUGACCCUUUUGAAGAGUGGAUCUUCCAGGCCCAGUCAAGCCUUCAGAUGACUGCAGCCCCAGCCAACAUCUUGGGAGACCCCGAGUCAGAAACCCCCGCUAAGUCACUUCCAGAUCCCUAAGUCUCAGAAACUGAAGAAAAAAAAAAUGACUGUGGCAAGGAACUUAUCUCUAUGAAC
rnacentral:lncRNA from 1 species